rnacentral:rRNA from 1 species
AGUGAACGCUGGCGGUAGGCCUAACACAUGCCAGUCGAACGGCAGCACAGUAAGAGCUUGCUCUUACGGGUGGCGAGUGGCGGACGGGUGAGGAAUACAUCGGAAUCUACUUUUUCGUGGGGGAUAACGUAGGGAAACUUACGCUAAUACCGCAUACGACCUACGGGUUAAAGCAGGGGAUCUUCGGACCUUGCGCGAUUGAAUGAGCCGAUUUCGGAUUAGCUAGUUGGCGGGGUAAGGGCCCACCAAGGCGACGAUCCGUAGCUGGUCUGAGAGGAUGAUCAGCCACACUGGAACUGAGACACGGUCCAGACUCCUACGGGAGGCAGCAGUGGGGAAUAUUGGACAAUGGGCGCAAGCCUGAUCCAGCCAUACCGCGUGGGUGAAGAAGGCCUUCGGGUUGUAAAGCCCUUUUGUUGGGAAAGAAAAGCAGCAGGUUAAUACCCCGCUGUUCUGACGGUACCCAAAGAAUAAGCACCGGCUAACUUCGUG